rnacentral:rRNA from 1 species
UACAGAGGGUGCGAGCGUUGUCCGGAAUCAUUGGGCGUAAAGGGCGCGUAGGUGGCUUCUCAAGCGUGCGGUGAAAGCCUGGGGCUCAACCCCGGGUCGGCCGUGCGAACUGGGGGGCUUGAGCACUGUAGAGGCAGGCGGAAUUCCGGGUGUAGCGGUGGAAUGCGUAGAGAUCCGGAAGAACACCGGUGGCGAAGGCGGCCUGCUGGGCAGUUUAGCUGACACUGAGGAGCGAAAGCCAGGGGAGCAAACGGG